GCCGUCCUAGCCCAAUUGGCGGAGGCGCAGGUCCCAGGCACCUGGCGAUCGGGGUUCGAAUCCCCGGGACGGUA
rnacentral:tRNA from 1 species